rnacentral:rRNA from 1 species
CGGCAACAGCUCAAAUUUGAAAUCUGGCUUCGGCCCGAGUUGUAGUCUAGAGAAGCAUCAUCCGUGCUGGACCAUGUACAAGUCUCUUGGAACAGAGCGUCAUAGAGGGUGAGAAUCCCGUCCUUGACAUGGACUCCCAGUACUUUGUGUUGUGCUCUCAAC